CAAGCGUUAUCCGGAGUUACUGGGCGUAAAGCGCGUGUAGGCGGCUCGGUAAGUGGGUCGUGAAAGCGCCCGGCUAAACUGGGCGAGGACGAUCGAGACUGCCAGGCUAGAGGGUGGUAGAGGGACAGGGAAUUCCGGGUGUAGCGGUGAAAUGUGUAGAGAUCCGGAGGAACACCGAUGGCGAAGGCAGCCUCCUGGGCCAAUACUGACGCUCAUGCACGAAAGCGUGGGGAGCAAACAGG
rnacentral:rRNA from 1 species